rnacentral:tRNA from 1 species
GCCCGUAUGGUGAAAUUGGCAGACACACUAGUUUUAGGAACUGGUACUUAUGUGUACAGGUUCAAAUCCUGUUACGGGCACCA